rnacentral:rRNA from 1 species
GCGUAAGCGCGCGCAGGCGGUUCUGUAAGACUGAGGUGAAAUCCCCCGGCUCAACCUGGGAACUGCCUUUGAGACUGCGGGGACUUGAGUGCGGAAGAGGGGAAUGGAAUUCCACGUGUAGCGGUGAAAUGCGUAGAUAUGCGGAGGAACACCGAUGGCGAAGGCGAUCCUCUGGGCCGGCACUGACGCUCAUGCACGAAAGCGUGGGGAGCAAACAGGAUUAGAUACCCUGGUAGUCCACGCCCUAAACGAUGUCUGCUGGUUGUUGGAUGGUAUCUGACUCUUAAUGCUGCCUCACACGCGAUAUUGACCCCCCGGGGAGAACAGCGGCGCGGUGGAAACUCUCAGGA